GUUGUGAGUGCCGGGUCGCGCCUGCCAUCCUUCUAGACAGCGGUUCUACCCCUCACGGGGCCGGAGCUUGCCAUCUAGAUCUUUUACUUUGAAAAAAUUAGAGUGUUUCAAGCAGCUUUUGCUAUGAAUACAUUAGCAUGGAAUAAUCAACUAGGACUUCGGUUCUAUUUGUUGGUUUCUAGGACUGAAGUAAUGAUUGAUAGGGAUAGUUGGGGGGUGCUAGUAUUCAGCGGCCAGAGGUGAAAUUCUCGGAUUCGCUGAAGACUAACUAAUGCGAAAGCAUUCGCCAAGGAUGUCUUCUUUAAUCAAGAACGAAAGUUGGGGGAUCGAAGACGAUCAGAUACCGUCGUAGUCUCAACCAUAAACUAUGCCGACUAGGGAUGAGUGAACGUUGCAUUUUCGACUUCAUUCGCACCUUAUGAGAAAUCAAAGUCCUUGGGUUCCGGGGGGAGUAUGGUCGCAAGGCUGAAACUUAAAGGAAUUGACGGAAGGGCACCACCAGGAGUGGAGCCUGCGGCUUAAUUUGACUCAACACGGGGAAACUUACCAGGUCCAGACACAGUGAGGAUUGACAGAUUGAAGAUCUUUCUUAAUUCUGUGGGUGGUGGUGCAUGGCCGUUCUUAGUUGGUGGAGUGAUUUGUCUGGUUAAUUCCGUUAACGAACGAGACCUCGACCUGCUAACUAGUAAAAUCGACUUUCGGGUCGAUUUCAGACUUCUUAGAGGGACUAUCGG
rnacentral:rRNA from 1 species